rnacentral:rRNA from 1 species
UGAGACAGGUGCUGCAUGGCUGUCGUCAGCUCGUGUUGUGAAAUGUUGGGUUAAGUCCCGCAACGAGCGCAACCCUUAUCCUUUGUUGCCAGCGAUUAGGUCGGGAACUCAAAGGAGACUGCCAGUGAUAAACUGGAGGAAGGUGGGGAUGACGUCAAGUCAUCAUGGCCCUUACGAGUAGGGCUACACACGUGCUACAAUGGCAUAUACAAAGAGAAGCGACCUCGCGAGAGCAAGCGGACCUCAUAAAGUAUGUCGUAGUCCGGAUUGGAGUCUGCAACUCGACUCCAUGAAGUCGGAAUCGCUAGUAAUCGUGGAUCAGAAUGCCACGGUGAAUACGUUCCCGGGCCUUGUACACACCGCCCGUCACACCAUGGGAGUGGGUUGCAAAAGAAGUAGGUAGCUUAACCUUCGGGAGGGCGCUUACCACUUUGUGAUUCAUGACUGGGGUGAAGUCGUAACAAGGUAACCGUAGGGGAACCUGCGGUUGGAUCACCUCCUUACCUGAAAGAA